rnacentral:rRNA from 1 species
UCGUGUCGUGAGAUGUGGUUAAGUCCCGCAACGAGCGCAACCCUCGACCUUAGUUGCCAGCAUUCAGUUGGGCACUCUAAGGGUGACUGCCGGCUAAAAAGUCGGAGGAAGGUGGGGAGUGACGUCAAAUCAUCAUGCCCCUUAUGACCUGGGCUACACACGUGCUACAAUGGGCGGUACAAAGGGUCGCGAACCCGCGAGGGGGAGCCAAUCCCAAAAAAGCCGCUCUCAGUUCGGAUUGCAGGCUGCAACUCGCCUGCAUGAAGCCGGAAUCGCUAGUAAUCGCGGAUCAGCAUGCCGCGGUGAAUACGUUCCCGGGCCUU